AAAGAUUAAUUAGAGAGUGGUUGGCGUGGAAGCCACUUGGUGGUGGCAUUUCGUGUUAUCUCGGUGAGGAAAAGCCUCCCACGUGGCUUGUACAUGUAUUAGCUUGGGCUCCAGCCUCAUCAGCUAACAAGAUAUGGUUACAAACACAAGAUAGAGAUACAACGUAAUCAACCAUACUAAACUACACAUGAUGUACUUAUCUAGGCCGAUUACUUUCUCUAACAGCAAGCAUACUUGAUAUGAUGAAUGGCCGUCUUUGGUGAACUGCAGGUAUAGCAGGCAGGAAACGCUGACAAUCCUCUCACUCCGUCCCUCCUUUCCGUCUCUGACCGAAGUUUGGAGACAAGCAAGUUUUUUUUUUUUUUGCGAAGUUUUGUUUGGCUCCUCCGAUCCAUUUCUGUGCCUGUCAUCUCCUCAUGCAUGAAAAUAUCAUAAUAUCUAAUGAUACAUGGAUAUAUAAAAAUGUCCACCAAUGUGUGUUUUUAGUGUGUAUAUGCAUGUAAAAGCAGUACAUGUACACAUAUAUACGUAUAUGAUACACAACAUAUACGUCAAAAGAGGAAGAGUUUAAUCACAUACCUAUCCAUUUGUUACCAACAUCCAUGGAUGAACAAAAGGAGGCAUGUGCAAGAUCCUCACGGUGUUAACCACUAAGCAUAUACACUAACCAGAUGACAAGAGCAAGAAUUUAAUUGCAGGAGAUAUCAGAUGUGUCUAUCAGCAUGUCUGGCAGCCAUGCACUAUGUUCUUCUCUGCUUCUUCUUCUCCUCCUUUCAUGAGACCCGAGCCCUAUGGUAGCUCGAUACAUGUACAGGGGCUCUUAUUCUUUUCUCGUCAACAUCUCAAGCAUGGGUGGUAUCUGAAAGCCACGCAACACACUUGGCGAUAAACGAGAGCACCGCGUAGAUGUAACGAACUACACAGGGCUCGGGUACUUUGACAGAUUUCACGGAGCGGCGCGGGAAGAUUUGCGAAGGAGAGAUGAGGCGGCUAGUGAGAAAAAUGGGAGAGGGUGGAGAGG
rnacentral:lncRNA from 1 species